rnacentral:rRNA from 1 species
ACAGGAUUAGAUACCCUGGUAGUCCACGCCGUAAACGAUGCUAACUCGUUUUUGGGUUUUCGGAUUCAGAGACUAAGCGAAAGUGAUAAGUUAGCCACCUGGGGAGUACGUUCGCAAGAAUGAAACUCAAAGGAAUUGACGGGGGCCCGCACAAGCGGUGGAUUAUGUGGUUUAAUUCGAUGAUACGCGAGGAACCUUACCAAGGCUUAAAUGGGAAUUGAUCGGUUUAGAAAUAGACCUUCCUUCGGGCAAUUUUCAAGGUGCUGCAUGGUUGUCGUCAGCUCGUGCCGUGAGGUGUUAGGUUAAGUCCUGCAACGAGCGCAACCCCUGUUACUAGUUGCUACCAUUAAGUUGAGGACUCUAGUAAGACUGCCUACGCAAGUAGAGAGGAAGGUGGGGAUGACGUCAAAUCAUCACGGCCCUUACGCCUUGGGCCACACACGUAAUACAAUGGCAGGUACAGAGGGCAGCUACACAGCGAUGUGAUGCGAAUCUCGAAAGCCUGUCUCAGUUCGGAUUGGAGUCUGCAACUCGACUCUAUGAAGCUGGAAUCGCUAGUAAUCGCGCAUCAGCCAUGGCGCGGUGAAUACGUUCCCGGGCCUUGUACACACCGCCCGUCAAGCCAUGGAAGUCUGGGGUACCUGAAGUCGGUGACCGUAAAAGGAGCUGCC